rnacentral:tRNA from 1 species
UCCAUGGUGGCUCAGAUGUAGAGUAUCUGUCUACAAUGCAGAAGACCUGGGUUCGAGCCCUGGGUUGGGAA